UGGAGAGUUUGAUCCUGGCUCAGGACGAACGCUGGCGGCGUGCUUAACACAUGCAAGUCGAACGGAAAGGCCCUUCGGGGUACUCGAGUGGCGAACGGGUGAGUAACACGUGGGUGAUCUGCCCUGCACUUUGGGAUAAGCCUGGGAAACUGGGUCUAAUACCGGAUAGGACCACGCGCUUCAUGGUGUGUGGUGGAAAGCUUUUGCGGUGUGGGAUGGGCCCGCGGCCUAUCAGCUUGUUGGUGGGGUAAUGGCCUACCAAGGCGACGACGGGUAGCCGGCCUGAGAGGGUGACCGGCCACACUGGGACUGAGAUACGGCCCAGACUCCUACGGGAGGCAGCAGUGGGGAAUAUUGCACAAUGGGCGCAAGCCUGAUGCAGCGACGCCGCGUGAGGGAUGACGGCCUUCGGGUUGUAAACCUCUUUCAAUAGGGACGAAGCGCAAGUGACGGUACCUAUAGAAGAAGGACCGGCCAACUACGUGCCAGCAGCCGCGGGUAAA
rnacentral:rRNA from 1 species